UUUUUAAAUGUUUCAAUAUGUGUUUACACAAAUUACGUAUUUGAAAUUUUCAUUGAUACAACAUGGCACUAAAAGAUGUUAGAAAAGAAAUGCGUAGUGACGUUAUUGCUUGAUGACGUUAGGAACCGAUGAAUCUGCUUUUUGAACCGGUUCAAUGAGCCGAUCUGUUCAAAAAAGAACCGGUUCGCGGAAAAGAAUCGGACUUUGCAUCACUUCCGCAAAAAGAAACACUGGACUGACUACAAGUUAUAUGGGAGAGUAAAUGAGGAUAAUUGACAAGACACACCUGAAUAAUGACACAAUUAAUGGAAGACAGAAACUAGGUCAAAAAACACAAAUUAAAACAAACACAAAAGCCCAUGUGACAACAUUGAAAAAUAUAUAUAUAUUUUUUACAGUGAAUAAAACUGAUAGGGCUUGAUUAUACAGGUCUAAAAUUUCUUAUUAUAUAAUAACAAUAAAAUAUAAACAAUAUAAAAUAUACAAUGCUUACAGGUUUUUUUACAAUCAUGUUUGCACUAAUAACAGAACCUUCAUGUCAUUUUUUAAAACUUUAGACACAUAAUUCACAACCAAUGAUUAAAAUGCACAUUUUUCAAAACACUUAACACUUUUUUUCAAAUGCUUGGAUACAUUUAAGCCAAAUAUCAUUUGUAAUGUAAUUUGUAAUUUGUAAUGUAGGCUAAUGUAACUCAUUUACAAAUUACAUCUAAGUGGAGUGUCUAUUCAUUUCUUUACAAAGAUCUAACUAAUCAAUUGAUACAGUUGCUGAAAAUGUUGAGUAACUGUUGCAUUACUCUCGAUGCACAGCUUUUAUGAAAACUGAUUGGAUUCUCUAUUAAUGAGCUGAUGAUCUGAAUCAGGUGUGUUUGAUUAAGGAGACAUAGAAAACCUGCAGUGGUGGGAGGCCUCCAGGAACGUGGUUAAAGGAUUUUUAGGCUGAAUUAAUUAUUACAACUGGAACCGGGAACACGUCCCAUAACACCCGAUGUACUUGCUACAUCGUUAGAAGAAUGGCAUCUACGCUAAUAUUAGUCUGUUUCUCUCUUAUUCCGAGGUCACCGUAGCCACCAGAUCCAGUCUGUAUCCAGCCCAGAUGGUGGAUCAGCACCUAGAAAGGACCUCUAGAGCCCUGAAAGACAGCGGAGACCAGGACAACUAGAUGAGCCCCAGAGACAGAUCCCCUGUAAAGACCUUGUCUCAGACGACCACCGGGACAAGACCACAGGAAACAGAUGAUUCUUCUGCACAAUCUGACUUUGCUGCAGCCUGGAAUUGAACUGCUGGUUUCGUCUGGUCAGAGGAGAACUGCCCCCGACUGAGCCUGGUUUCUCCCAAGGUUUUUU
ensembl:lncRNA